rnacentral:lncRNA from 1 species
CUCCUUUGAGGAAGAGAAAUGAGAAAAGGGGAAGGUUUGUCGUCCUUGGCCACCGGCGAAAAGUAUCAAUGUGCAUCAAGGUUCUACCAUUAAUCAAGAAGAAAGUAUUCAAAAUGAUUUUCUAUUUCAUAUUAUGAUCAAGUAUAAUCUUCAGCACCAUCAACUUUUUGUUUUUUUGUUUUAAUUUUGUGGUUGCUUUGUUUUAUGUGCACUGAAAUGGGAACUUUAGAACAAACAGAAAUUAAAAUGAAAAAAAAAUAAGGAGAACAAGAAAGCUCAAAAUGUAAGCAUACAUGUUAUGAAAUACACUUUGAUGAAG